rnacentral:lncRNA from 10 species
GCAAAUGUGAUUUAAUCCUCACAGCAGCCUGCGAGGUGUAGGCACCAUGACUACUCCUGUUUCACAGAUGACAACCCUGAGGAAGGCUUAACAAGGUCACAUAACUUGUCAAGGUCAUCUGACUAGUAAGUGGCAGGCUGAGUCUAUGCAGACCUCCCGGACUCUAAAAUCUGGGCUUUGCAUCCCAUACCCUGUGUGGGUGGCACCAGCCUGGGCACAAUGGGAAGCAAGAUGUCAGCUCCAUGCUCCAGAUGGGCAUGAUGUUGAUUUCCUUCUCUACUUCAUGAAGCUGCUCCUGCUGUGUCCCCACAGCCCAUGGACAAGGGGGAACACACUUGAAGCUCCUUCCCCCCAGAAUGAGUGAUCAGAAGUGAGGAUAGUCCAUGCUCUUGCUUUUUUGCCUCUCUGGGAACAGCCAGGGUGCUCCCACCUUGGAGAAGCAGUGGGGCAGGGGGCUUGUCUGGCUCAUUCUGUCACCAGGGGAGCCCCAGAGAUUUGUGUUUUGGGGGACGGAGAGCCCAGGGCUUGCGAGUCUGUAACCUGGUCCCCAGGGGCAUCUGGUAACAUGGUAAUGGGCACGUUCGAGCAUCUCAUCUUUUGCUCCGGGUGCCUUUAAUCGCUGCCAAUGAAAGUUGAGACUGAAGAGGAAAACAGCCUGAGCUGGGGCUGCUGGACUUCCUCUCUCUGCCUUCUUCCUCACUGGUAAUUACAAACACCAGCCGCUUUGUGUCUAAAAUGGCCAGGAUAAUUGAAACGGAA